AAGUCACUAGUAAAACUGAUAUUACAUUGCUUUGUCAAGGCAAAAUUGCGAGUUAAACCCUCGCGUGUCUUA
rnacentral:tRNA from 1 species